GAUUGCCCAGGUGUACCAUUCACUUUUGUUCGAUUUACUCUUCGUUUUCCGCUUUUGUUUUGGUUUCCUGCUCUUGCGUCAUGCUUCUGUUUUGUGAGGUUCCUCUUCCUUUUUUCGAAGCCUCUUGCUACCGUGUGUGUUUUGCGAGAUUGAUGUGUCUUGCUGCGAAUACUUUGCAGAUGGAUGUUGCGCUUAAUGGACAACAAUACUGAGGGAGAAUCCAACUAUGGAGUGUGAAUCCUGGACUAUUAUGAAGCAACUCCUCCGACUCGAAGUGGAACGCUUUCUUUCGAUGUGGUGACUCGACGACAACGGCUCCAACAGGUGAAACAGAAACAGGGUGAUUGGAGAGUGAAGAGGAGAAUUGAGAUAUGGAGAAAAAGAAGAUUGAAGAAGAAAAAAAAAAUGAAGAAAAAAAUGAAGUUUCGGUUGCCUAGUUAUUAGCAGCUUUGGGUUUUGUUUAAGCUAGCCUGAUAUUUGUUGCACCGCGAUUAUGACUACUCAAUGGCGUGGCCUUGCGACAUAGCUCCCAUGAAAUCUUGGCAACAUUGGCUUAUCGUUGGAGUUGCACACUACCGCCGAUCUUUUCCAUGAUCAAUUUGGGACGGAUCUUCGGUGAGUUCAGUGUUACCAUACCCACUGUUUUUAGCAUCACAAUCAUCCAUUGUUUCCGGUAUGUUUUGAUUUUCAUAAUUAUGCUUCUUGAACUCUGUUGUAGGUGGAUCGAUUAGUAUGUUGUGAUGUGUUUUCAGGACAAUUCAAAAUGUUGUGAGUCUGUUAGCUGCGGCAAAUUAUUAUGGAGUUUUUUAGUGAAUUAGAUCGAUAUAUGUUUGUAUGUUAUACUGUCAUUUUCCGGAAACCAAAGUAAUUGGAAAUCAAAAUGCACACGAGACUCUCCUUUAUUCAGGAAGAAUUGAAAUUAAAACUGCCAUGUUGUUAUUUUAAUGUUAAUUAAAACUGGCUAGAAUUGAAAUUCAGAUGAAAAUUAUCUGUUAGUUACCGUUAGGGGGUUAGAACUGAUUAAAUUGUCUUGUUCAAUUCUGCAGGGUUGCCGCUUGAGAAGUUCUGGAUGUGGGUGCACAACACUUACCGUUUUGAGAACCUUCAUGCUAGAGAUGCCCUUGAAUUAAUGGUCGGAAGAAUGAAUGUACUUGAACCCAGCCAGGAUUUUAGAACAGAAAUUGCUGCUAGUUCUUAAUGGCUUCCAAUGUAAAAAAAUGACUGGUCUCGGUGUUAUUUUAUUUAAGUUUGAAAAAAUAUUGUGGAUCUGUUAUGAAACAAGUUAGUGAUUUUAGUAAUGCUCAAUUGGUUGUGUUUGAAAC